AUUGAACGCUGGCGGCAGGCCUAACACAUGCAAGUCGAACGAGUGGCGGACGGGUGAGUAAUGUCUGGGAAACUGCCUGAUGGAGGGGGAUAACUACUGGAAACGGUAGCUAAUACCGCAUACCAUCGGAUGUGCCCAGAUGGGAUUAGCUAGUAGGUGGGGGAAAGGCUCACCUAGGCGACGAUCCCUAGCUGGUCUGAGAGGAUGACCGUCCACACUGGAACGGAGACACGGUCCAGACUCCUACGGUAGGCAGCAGUAGGGAAUAUUGCACAAUGGGCGAAAGUCUGAUGCAGCCAUGCCGCGUGUAUGAAGAAGGCCUUCGGGUUGUAAAGUACUUUCAUCGGAGAGGCGUUACCCGCUGAAGAAGCACCGGCUAACUCCGUGCCAGCAGCCGCGGUAAUAC
rnacentral:rRNA from 1 species